rnacentral:lncRNA from 1 species
UUUUCAUGGUUUGUACGCUACAUGAAAUAUAAUAUUUUGCUGGAAUCUUUUGACCUUUUCAAAAACCUGUAUUUUGAUUGUCUGGCAAUUCUGCUAUUUCCCUGCAGGUUAGAGAAGAAAACUAUGUUUUGUGGAGGAGGUGAAUUUACAGCGGCAUUGCACUGAGCUCUGUGGCAGGAAAGAUGCGCUGCUGGUAUGAAAAUUGCAUGUGCUGAACUUGGAUGGACAGAUUAAAAACACCCAGAACCAAACUUAUUCAUGGAGGAACCAGGUGAAAUUUCUUAUUCAGGUAUGUGCUGCACGGUGUAUCAGUGUAUUGAGGUUAGAUACAAACUCUGCUCAUGCUCUGAGGUGACCAAAAUCUGUAUGACCAGAGAAGUGUGCUGCAGCAUACUGGCGGUGAGCACCAGCUGAAGGCUUCUCUGGAUCCAUGCAUCCCACCUGGAGUUCAGGCACAGCUCACACGAUGACGUGAUGGGCAGAAGGGCUGUAGCUAUGAUUAAAGACUGCUUGCUAACCCAGUUCCUGUCUGCAGGAUUAGGCACAUUCCUAAAAGUCCUCUGUACAUCCACCUGGGCCACCUUGCCAUCGGGACUGGGACUGCUUAUCACACAGCAACAGACACUUUUCCUCUUAGGGGUUUUAAUACCUGCAGUUCUUCUUUGGUGACAACUCCAAUCCUGAGAUGCUGCAAUGACCACAAGGCUUUCUUUAAAAAAAAAAAACAACACACAUUAGCUAAUCAUAACUGUGGAGGAAAAAAGAUACAGCUCAGGAGAAAUAUGUUCCAAGUGACAGCAUCUUUGACAACCUGUACUUUUUGUUCUGCCUUUUGUUCUUCUUCCUAUGAAAAGCCAUGUGAUGAAGAUUGCUGGAGAACAUUGAUACCUUACCUACUUAUGAAAAAUAAAUAAAUAAAUAAAUAAAUAAAAAAGAAGUAACUGUGUACUUCCCA